rnacentral:pre_miRNA from 1 species
GGGAGGCAGUAGGGGCUCAGGGGGAGUGUGUGCAGCCCUGGCCCUCUCUGCCCUUCCG